AAAGAUACUGCUCUGAUAUAAGCACCACUAUAUAUCAUCGGAAGAUUCCAGGCAUAAGUCUGCAAUUCUUAAGAUUCUUACAUGGUCUAUUCAGUAUCUCAAAUGAUAGAGCUAUUAGAAACACAACGACCCUAGCAUAGCAGGUUAUACCACAGUAUUCAUAGAACUUAUUUCUUAUUUUCAGUUCCACGCACAAUCUUAAUGGCAAGGCCCUUCAGAGUUUUUGUACCAAACUCUUUAGUUAUCCGAAAUAAACUUAUACUAGCCUUGACCAUGUUGAAUUCUCAGGGAAUCCAGCUGAGAUUUUCCCCUAAGCUCACGAGCAUACCGGCUCCUAAAGUAUUCUUCAAUUCUCAUUCUUCUAAACAAAGGAGGAGUUUUUUCAGAGAUCAAACUGGAGGCAGGAUACACUUCACCAUCAUAUCUCACUGAGUAAACUGUGGCAACGGAAAGUCUUUCCUGUACAGAGUUUACAACUGCACGAUGCUCAAUGCUACGGUAUGUCCCAUUGGUUAUAAUCUGCCAUGUAAAAAUUAUUAAAGCACAUAAGCAAGCGCAUAAAAAUGCCAGGUUAAGGUAAUUUAUUAUAAUUAUUACCUCCAAUGUGUCUCCAAUGUUGACAAUGAAAGCAUCCGGGAGUGGGGUAACAGGAAUCCACUUUCCAUCCUUCUUUACCUGGAGACCCUCCACUUCAUUAAGUUGUAGCAGAAUGGUAAGUGCAGCUGCAUCAGAAUGUGGCGACAGGCCCAUAACCUUCUCGGGCUGAGGACAUGGAGGGUAAUAAUUCAUCCUCAUUGCUUGCACUCCAUUUUCAAAGAAUUCUCUCAUUUCUUCAUCUUUGAUAUUUAACACUUCUCCCAUUUUCGAUAUUAGGUUCUCGGCUAGGGAUUUUAAUUCCAUUGAGUAAACUUCCAAGGUCUCUCUACAGGAAAAGAAGAUGCACUAUCCUUUAUUUGUUUGCAAAUCAAAAUGACAUUGACAUAGAGAGAGAGAGAGAGAGAGAGAGAGAGAGAACCUGAGGGAAGGAGGGAGCUUAGGAAAUAAGUGUGGCUUCCUCAGAUGAACUGGAAGAGUCAGCAUGGAGAAAAGGUCAGCCCAAUCAAGCUUUUGUUCCUCAGAUACAACAAAGGCUUGUCCAAAGCCUUCCAUAUCUCCUGGAUGCUGCCAAUAUUUUUUCUUUUCUUCCAUGCUGAGAUUGAAGAAUCCCUCAACCUCUUUCUUUAAUUUCUCUAGAAAUGCUGUGCUCAUUCCAUGAUUUACCAGCUGAAAAAAAUACAGGAACGAAAUGCAGCAAAGAUUUAAUAAUCGUGCCACUAAGCUCACAAUAGUCCAGGUGUUUUAUGAAGACAGAUUGCAACUUAUCUGACUGAUUUAGAGAUAAGAUUUACCAUCAAAGAUAGCUAAAAGCAUUUGUUACAUUUAAAUCUUCUCAACAAUUAGUUUCCACAGGUGUUUUUUAUUCAUUCUAUCGGAGAAAUUUCGGUUAUUCUAGAAUAACUAUAACGAGCAUGAAGUUCUUGUGGUUUGUUCACACCUAGAAUUUGAAAAAUCAUACAACAGCAAAUAAUCUCAAUGUUACUUCGAAUUGUCUUUAAAUUAGAGUAAUUUGCAACAUUGACUACAGAAAUGAGUACAUUUUCUAAGAGGUCUUACACAAUUUACGAUAGUAUAUCUUUUAAAAUUUUGACAGAAGCAUAUUUCUCAUAAGGUACCAAAAGCCAUUGAGGCAGAGGAGGGGAAAUUUCUCAAGACCGUAUUUUUCAUACAUAUUGCGUGUUUGACAUUUAGGAAUGAAAUAGCUAAUUAACCCAUGUCUGGAGGGGGAAAGGUAAAGCAGUAUAGAAAGUCAAUAAUAAAUAAACCAGAGACAAGUUCUUCUUUUCACAAGCUGCAGUCCUAAGCCACUGACAACACCGAAAAGUGAAACCAUGAUCUGCUAACAUCAAUGAUACGUGGGUUUAAGAAAUAAAUAUGAAUUUUAAUUUUGCCUAUUGGAUUGAGAAUUUGCAUAUUUCUCGAUUCUUGUUCACAAACAAGCAUGUUCUGGCGAAACAAUUUUCUAACUUUGCUAAAGCAUUAUACCUGGAAAAAACCCCAUUCUUUGCAUGCGAAGUCGAGCUUGGCUAGCUCAGAAUCCAUUGAUUCUUCAGAAAGUAAGCUUUGCAUGUCAAUAACUGGUAUCUGUGAAAUCAAAGUAUCAUCAGAAAUGAGUGGUGAAUCUUGAUCUGGACGUAUGUAUCUGUCGGGGACAACUAACGCAGGAUUCUUGACCAACUCUUGAACACAAGGCACAAGGAGAGAACUUCCAAUCUGGGCCAUCUUUUGUUCCUCAAAUCCUUUCAAGAUUGCUGCAGCUUUGUAUUGAUUUUGGAACAAGACUGAGUGCCGACAAUCACAAAAGUAAAAAAGAAUCUUUUUCCAAGAAAUUAAUCAGCAUCCUCCACCUAACCAUUCAUGAAGUAUUUUUAAUUUUUUGCACAUGUUUAGAAUGCAUAAUAAAAUAUUCGCAGGUCAAAACUAUCCUCUAUUGAUAAGGAUAACAAAUCAUCAGCCAAUUAAUUAGGGUAAUUUUUAAAAACCUCCCCUGAGGUUUGGGCUUGUUGUAAGUAAAUGAUGAGAAUUGAUUUAUUUGUAAAAAAUUCUCUACCGUCAGUUAAUUUUAACAUUGACUGUUAGUUGACUGUGCAAAGACAAUAUUACCCUUAACAAUAAUUUAUAGACAGAAAUAACUAUAAAAAAAUUAAAAUUAUUAGUUAUUUUACCCUCUUUAAAUUAUUGAUAUUUUCUUAAAGUUCCUACAAGAAAGAUAAAAUUAAAAAUUUUAAAAAUUCUCUUUAAAUUAUUGAUAUUUUCUUAAAGUUUCUACAAAAAAGAUAAAAUUAAAAACUUAAAAAUAAAAUAGUUAUAAUCUUUACUUAUGAUAUUGUAAAUUUUUGGAAUUGACAAGGAUAAAAUUGUCAAAAAAUAGGGUUUGUGCUUUUCGCGCCAACAAUUUUAAUUUUUUUUUUAGUUAUUUCCGUCUACAAACUGUUGUUGAGGGUAAUAUUGUCUUUGCACAGUCAACUAACGGUCAAUGUUAAAAUUAACUGACGGUAGGAGGUUUUUUAUAAAUAAACAGAUUCUCGUCAUCUGCUUGCAACAAGUCCAAACCUCAGGGGAGGUUUUUAAAAAUUAUCCCAAUUAAUUAUUUGUGGUUCCCACCUUGUCAUCAACCCAAAAGGCAAAGGUAUUUUCAAUACUGCGUUUUGUUUUCUUUUUCCCUUUCUAUUUUUCUUUCACAACUUGGCAUUGAUCUCGGAGCAUUUGCUCUUGACUUGUGCGAGUAAUCCACCAUUGCGUGUCUGCAGUUAAAAGGACUUCUUAAAAUUUUUUCUAACACGCUGCAAUCUGGUGCUGUGUUGGAAUUGACUGUGCACUAUUAAGAAAACAGUGGGUUCCAAUUGUAAUCGAUUAGUCAUUUAUACAAUUAUAGCUGUUUAUAUUUAGGCAUUAAUUAUCUUUAUAUUUUUAUCUGAUAACAACCAAUUAAAACCUCAUAUUUUGCUUGCGAAUCCAAGUUCCACUUACGAAAGUAACAUCUGUCUCAUUUUUAAUUAUUGAUAAUUAUUAUUACUAUUAUUAUUAUUUUUUAUUAUUAUUAUUGGUAACAAGUUACAACUUAUGUACUCAUGCAAUGUGUUCUAUGGAGAACAAUGUUGCUACAAGCAAUACAAAAUUUGUUACAAUUUAUUGUCUUGAAUAUUUUCGGUAAAAACUACUUAUUUUAACUACAUGCAUGCUACUGGGGAAGGUUGUAAAACAAAUUAUCACAACAAUCUGCUUAAUGUGACGGAUGGUUAAGCCAAAUGACAACAUAUAACCCAAGCAUGUUGUUAUCUAUUCAACUUCAGUGACAUUGUAACAAAAUAUAUUGUUGAUAAGGAUGUAAUUGGACAAGCAAGCGUUAGAAUGGCAUGCUUAAGUAUUUAAUAUCAUAUUUGAAUCAUCUUUAACUCCGAAAGCAAGUGAAAUAGUUCUUGAAAUCUGAUAAAAACAUGACAAGCCUGCAAAAAUUCUAUUCCAAAAAUGAAAGACACUGAUCCAAAAUAAGCACAAUUAUCAUCAGAAAAUUCCUGGCACAAAUCUGCAACUAUCCAAAAUAAUUAUGCUAGCCUCGACCAUGUUGAAUUCUCAGGUCAUCCAGGUGAGAUUUUCCCCUAAGCUCACGAGCAAAUCGGCUCCUAAAGUAUUCUUCAACCGUCACUCUUCGAAACAAUGCAGGAGUUUUUUCAGAUAUCAAACUGGAUGCUGGAUAUAUUUCACCAUCUAAUCUCUUUGUGUAAAAUGUGGCAAUGGAAAGUCUUUCUUGUAUAGAGUUCACAAUUGCACGAUGCUCAAUGCUACAGUAUGUCCCAUUGGUUAUAAUUUGCAGUGUUAAAAAUAUUAGAGCACAUGAGAAGGGACAUAAAAAUGCCAAGGAAAGUAAUCAUAAUUAUUACCUCUAAUGUGUCUCCGAUGUUGACAAUGAAAGCAUUUGGCAGCGGUGUGAUAGGAAUCCAUUUUCCAUCGUUCUUGAUCUGGAGACCUUCUACUUCAUUGAUUUGUAGCAGAAUGGUAAGAGCAGAGCCAUCAGAAUGAGGGGUGAGGCCCAUAACCUUUUCUGGCUGAGGACAUGGAGGGUAAUAGUUCAUCCUCAUUGAUUGGAAACCAUUGUCAAAGAAUUCUCUCAAUUCUUCAUCUUUGAUAUUUAAAACUUUUCCCAUUUUCGAUAUCAGGUUCAUGGCCAAAGAUUUUAACUCCAUUGAGUAAACUUCCAAGGUGUCUCUACAAGAAAAAAGAAGGUAAAACAUUAGAUAGAAUCAUAGAAGGUUUAAUUUUCUCUUUUUGUUUGCAAAUCCAUAUCAAGCACAAACAGAGAGAACCUGAGGGAAGGAGGGAGCUUAGGAAAUAAGUGUGGCUUCCUCAUAUGAACUGGAAGAGUGAUCAUGGAGAACAUGUCAGCCCAAUCAAGCUUUUGUUCCUCAGAUACAACAAAGGCUUGUCCAAAUCCUUCUACAUCUCCUGGAUGCUGCCAAUAUUUUUUCUUUUCUUCCAUGCUGAGAUUGAAGAAGCCCUUAACCUCUUUCUUCACUUUCUCUAGAAAUGCUGAGCUUACUCCAUGGUUUACCAGCUGAAAUUAUGCAGGAAUGAACAGCAGCUAAGAUUUGAUAAUCGUGCCACUAGGUUCACAACCGUCCAGGCGUUUUAUGAAGACAGAUUGCAACUUAUUUGACUGAUUUAGAGACAAGAUUUGCUGUCAAAGAUGGCUAAAAGCAUUUGUUACAUUUCAACUGAGAACAUUGCUGUUGCAUUAAACACCAAUUUUAUUUUGUUUAUAAAUCUAAUCAAUGAUUGAUUUUUACAAGUGUUUUUUACUCAGUUUUGGAGAAAUUUGAAUAUUCUAGAACAGCUAAUAAUCUGCGGGAGUCUUAUACAAUUUACUAUAUCGUUUAUCACAUAUUGACAGAAGCAUAUUUCUCAUAAGCUACCAAAAGCUAUUGAGACAAAGUAGGUGAAAUUUGUCAUGGGCAUCUUUUAAUACAAAUUAUACUAACAAAUCUAUGGCUAUAUGUAAAGGUAAAGUAAUAAAGAAAGUCAAAAACAAAUAUAUCAAUGGAAUCUGGGUUUCAGAAAUAAAUGGUGAGUGUUUUCUUCUCAUAUCGCCUCAAAUUGUACAAUAAAACAAGAGACAACUUCCUUGACAUUUCACAAGCUGCGGUCCUAGAAGCACUGAAAGCAGCAAAAGGACUAGAUGGGAAAAUUUGAAAUCAUGACAUGCUAAAUCAACGGAAACUGGGUUUCAAAAAUAGAUAUUUUGUGACAGAGUUUUGCAGAUUUCAUGAUUCUUAAAUCACAGACAAGCAUGAAAAAUCUUUCUAACUCUGCUAAAGCAUUUUACCUGGUAAAAACCUCAUUCUUUGCAAGCGAAGUCGAGCUUGGCUAACUCAGAAUCCAUUGAUUCUUCAGAAAGCAAGCUCUGCAUGUCAAUAAUUGGUAUCUGUGAAAUCAAAGUAUCAUCAGAAUUGAGUGGUGAAUCUUCGUCCGGACGUAUGUAUCUAGGAGGGACAACUAACAUAGGAUUCUUGACCAACUCUUGAACACAAGGAACAAGCAGAGAACCUCCAAUCUUGGCCAUCUUUUGUUCCACAAAUCCUCUUAAGAUUGCUACAGCUUUGUAUUGGUUUUGGAACAAGAGUGCAGGGUGCAGACAAUCGCAAGAGUUGAAAACAAUUAUUUUCUAACAAAUCAGCAUCCUCCACCUAACCGCUCAUGAUAUAUUUUUAUGCAAAUGACUGAUCUGGAUUAUUUUAAGGGGACCAUUCAACAGCAUGGUAAAAUAUGGGCAGGAAAUAGACCAUCAUUGAUAAUCACAACUAACAAAUCAGCUAGUCGAUUAAUUAUUAGUAAUUCCCAUAUUACCUUAUACAUUAAUAGUACUAACGGACGAGCCCUCACCUCGUUCACCUUUUGACUCCGAAUCAUCCUGUUCGUAUGCUUCUUACAUGGUCUGAAGGAAAAAUGAAAAUUCUAGAAAUAUUUUUCUUAUUGAAUUCAGCAGCGGAGUAAUCGAAUAUUGGAUUAUGUUAAUGGUCAAAAGAAAUCGCAAGUGGAAAUCCUUAUCUAAUCACAAUAUAAAUGCCCUUUUUAUGGAUUGUUCAAUGUUCUUAAUUUUAAUCUUCACGAAGAAGAGAAGAAGUUGAUUUAGCAAUUUUUACGUCUUUCUUGUUCUUAUUAUUAGAGAGAUUUUAUUCAAAGUGGAAGAAGUUAAUUUAAACUCAACUUCCCUCUCAAUUUCCAUAAACUGUACAUGUAACUACAUGGUAGUUACCAUGUGCGGGUCGGAUUGGCUCGGCCCAUCAUGGGUGAUCCACCCAUCCCAUAUCUCCCAUUCGUACAUGAUGGGAUGACAUCGAAACAGCAGAGCAGUGAACAUAUAAAUAAUGAACAACCACAUAUCUUUAAUCAUACAGGUAGAUAUAUCAUGUGACCAUGAACAUAUCUAAAAAUCCAUUUGGUGAGUCAAAAACAUAUCUCGAUUGCUAACUCAGGCAAAAGAUGUCUCAAUUGCAAUCGUAUGCAAGAGAAUUUAAAAAUAUGUUCAUUGUAUCCUAGAUUUAAUUUAUUUUAAUACUCAAGCAUACUAAAUCCCAUUAGUAUGCUAAAAUUGCACAAUCUCUUUAUGUAUUCACAAUUGUAAUAUCCCAAAGAUAUUAUACAAUUGGUCGACCAGUGAAUCACAUAAAAGAAAAAUUAAAUCUUUUUAUCACACUCAUGUUCAUCAAUUCAGAAUAGUCGCUUUCCUAGUCAUGUUUCAUAGACCGAAUAAUGUAAAAGGUCAUAGAUAACAUACUAAAGUAGCAGACAUCACUCUGAGAUCUCAAAAAUAUAGUUAAUAGUCAUAAGGAUAUCGGGAUUGACUUAUAAAAAGUUAUAUAGAACUUACACAAUGAGAAAGAUGGAAGAUUAUUUCAUUUUCCAUUUUGGUUACCAAGCACGCGUGGUAUGAUACACGUGUUACAGUAAAUUUUCCAUUUCAGGACUAUAGAUCUUAGUCUAGUCACUCUUUUAGAAUGAACGCUCUCCUUUAGCGUAAAACGUAAGAUCUCACAUCUGGCUUCAAUCAAGUCUCCAUGAUGGUGGGGUAUAUCAUAGUCAGUCUAUAAUAUGGGCAGGAAAUAGACCAUCAUUGAUAAUCAAGUCGAAAAAUCGUGUGAGACCUCUUGAUUCUAGUCAAGGUAAAAAAACUUGUAGAAUAACGCUUUUUAUUUGGCUCUCAAACAAAAACAUGGUUUUAUUAUUCUACUUGUCUCAUCUCAGCUUGCUCCUAAAGCAAUUGAGGUGACCGCUUGUGUAAGAAAACUAGUCUGGACCUGACGACAUACUCUUAUAUAUGUGUAAUUGUGUCUUUCAUGGAAUAAAUUGAAAUAAGAGAUACUAUUACAUUUUCAAACAACUUAUGUAAUGAAGAUGUUUAUAACAAAUAAGUGCAUCUUAAUAAUAGUAAUUUAUAAUCUAUGUAGCCCUAAUGAUUUAGCAUGAGAGGCGAAUACAUCCCUUAUUACAGCUUUGGUAAGUGGAUCAGUUAUCAUGCUAUGUGUAGAUAUAUAUUGUAUGGCUACUGAUAACUCUAUGAAAUGAGAGUUAUCAUGGCACUUUUAAGCUUAAAUCAAUACUAAUUAGAAAGUAAAUUAUGUGUUUCUAUUGCAUUUUUGUUACAUUUUGCAUAAAUAAUCAUUUUAGUCAGUCUUAAUAAGUUUUGCUUGAUUUAAAGUAAUUUGUGCUCAAAUUGUGUGAAUAAUUGUAGGUUUCCAGAAGUUUAUAAUUCAUGGAAGGAAUGCUAUGCAAUAGGCUUGCAAAAAUAAGGAAGAACAUGGCUAUAAAAGAAUUGAAACAAAUCUGGAACAGUACAGUUGCUGUAGCAACCAUUGCUUUAGCCAUUGCUGUAGCAAUCUUGGAACAACGACGAAGAAAAUUCCGUGCGGGAUACUUGCAGAAUUGCAAUCUGUAGUUUCCUAAUCUGACUUAUGCGCGCUUUAGGCUUCCGUUUACCCUAAUUUUCAACUAUAAAAGAAGCACACAUCAUAAGGAUUAAAGAGAGCCGUCACCCAAGGAGAAAAACAAAAAGAAACAAAAGAAAAACAAGAUUCAAGAGAGAGAUUAAAGGCUGCACAAGAGGAGAAUUUGCAUAAAUCAAUUGAGAGCUCAAUCCUUCUUAUUCUUCUCUUGUUUUCUUGUUUUCUAUUUAUUUAUGGGAAUGUGUUUCAUUGUUGAAGCUUUGUUCUUUAUUUUUCUUUUACAAACCAUGAACUAAAUUUAUUUGUGGUUGAGUGAUAAACAAUCUUGAUGGUUUAUUGACUGAAUAUAUGUGUUGCUACAUGUUUACUGUAGCAGUUUGUUUUGAUAGUACAAGUUAGGAGAGAGUAGCAAAAUGGUCUAUCUUAGUGGAACAUAUCAGAACAAUACGUGAUCUUAAAUUGAACUUCCCGGAUUGAGUUUUACUUGAGUCCCAAAAGGGCCAUGCUUGAUUUAAGAUUAGUGAUGAACUAGACAUAGGGAUUCACCUUGUAGGGUAAAUAGAACCUAAGCGUGUAAUGCUAUAUCUUAUGUUGGCAUAACAAUUGAUCACUGUUAGGUUGCAUAUAGAUAUAAAAUAUCCAACAUGCGACGGCUGAGGAUACAUAAGGAUUCUGUCCAGUGCUAUAGCAGAUGCUGCAGCAACCAAGCCAAACAUUAGAAAAAUAGUCAAUACCAUUAAGAGAGUUUAUUCACUCAGCUACUAUAUACUCCCAUUAGUUUUAUCCUUGAGUUUGACGUGAUAAUUUACUUUGUUGCAUUUUAUUUAUUGUGUUUUUAUUUUAAUUAGUACAUUAGUUUCAUUAAUUGUUUAUUUUAUUUUAGCACAAAAUCUGCACUGUUAAGAUUGCUGUAGCAAAUCUGAUAACAUCAAUCCCUGUGGAGACGAUCUUGAAUACUCAUUAUUUUAUUACUUGUUGUGUAUACUUGCACAUUGACACCAAUAACAUUAGUAUUUAUACACCAACAAGUUUUUGGUGCCGUUGCCGGGGAUUGAUUGUUAAUUGUGAUUUGUGAAAUUAGUUUUAACAGUGCUAAUUUUUUAUUUUAUUUUAAUUUGUUUAUUUUGUUGAAAUAAGUGAUCUAGCAACCCUCGCAUGCGCAAAUAUAAAUCUAUUGACUUCUAGUUUGAUCCAGAAAUUGAAAGAACUGCAAGGAGAUUGAGAAGAGAGCAUCGGGAAUUACAAGCUGCUGUAGCAAUGGAUGAUUUGCAAAAUUUGAGAAACUUGAACUGUAAAGAGGGGAUACAACCAGUCAAUGUACAUGAAGGUCUGAAUGGACAAUGUGUUCAAAGGCAACCAGGGAACAACAACAUUAUUCACAUGGCGAACGAUAGAGAUAGAGCCAUUCGAGACUACGCAGUGUUGACUCCUCAGGCCAUACAUUCAAGAAUAGUUAGACCCGACAUUCAAGCUGACAAUUUUGAACUCAAACCCGUGAUGUUUCAGAUGCUUCAAACAGUGGGGCAAUUUAAUGGUGUGCCAUCCGAAGAUCCUCAUCUACACCUUAAGUUAUUUUUGGAAGUAAGUAAUCCUUUCAAGAUUGCUGGAGCAUCGUAAGAAGCAUUGAGACUCAGACUUUUUCCGUUUUUUUUAGAGAUCGAGCAAGAGCAUGGUUGAAUUCUCUACCACCAGAUUCUAUCACUACAUGGAAUGAUUUGGCUGACAAAUUUUUUAUGAAAUACCUCCCGCUAACCAAGAAUGCAAAGUUGAGGAACGAGAUCACGUAUUUCCAUCAACUUGAAGAUGAAAGCUUGUGUGAUGCAUGGGAGAGAUUUAAAGAGUUACUAGAAAAUAUCCUCAUCAUGGUAUUCCUUGCUGCAUACAGUUGGAAACUUUCUAUAAUGGUCUCAACCCAAGCACUAGAUUGAUGGUGGACGCUUCAGUAAAUGGGGCAUUGUUAUCUAAGUCUUACAAUGAGGCUUAUGAAAUUUUGGAGAGGAUAGCCAACAAUAACUAUCAGUGGCCAUCAACCAGACAAGUUGCAGCAAGAGGAACAGCAGGAGUUCAUAACAUAGAUGCCUUGACAGCAUUGUCAGCCCAAGUAACUUCAUUAACAAAAAUGGUAAAGGCUAUGACUACUGCUCCAGCAACUGUUAACCAAAUAUCUUAUAUGUCUUGCGUUUAUUGUAGAGAAUGGCAUUUAUUUGACAAUUGUCCUGGUAAUCCAGCUUCGGUUAACUAUAUGGGCAGCUUCAAUAGACAGAACUAGGACAAUCCAUAUUCAAACACUCACAACCUUGGAUGGAGACAGCACACAAAAUUUUCAUGGAGUUAUUAGAACCAGACUGCUGCAGCACCUAGUGGACAGAACAGACCUGCUCAACCACCUGGAUUUUAUCAGCAAAAUCAAGAGCAAAGAAGCAUCAACAAUGAUCAAUUCAGCUCCCUUGAAGGUUUGAUUAAGGAUUAUAUUAUGAGGAAUGAAGCAGUUGUCCAAAGUCAUACUGUAUCGUUGAGAAACAUGGAAAAUCAAAUUGGACAGCUUGCUACAGCAUUGAGCAACAGACCUCAAGGUAGUUUACCCAGUAAUACAGAGAACCCAAGAAGAGAAGGGAAAGAGCACUGCAAAGUGAUUAACUUAAGAUCUGGAAAGGAUGUUUAUAGUCCCGUUGGUGUACCAAAAAGAAGAAUUGAGUCCACCCAAGGCCAAGAAGACACUCAAGUAGAGAAAGAGUCACAAUCUUCCACUUUUCAGAAUGCAAAUCAAUACAGUUCUGCUACAACAUCUGCAGAAAGUUAUGAUCCAACACCUAGUAGUGAGGAAGCUACAACACCAACAGCAACAGACCUGAGUAGAGCAAAAGAGAAGCAGUCUGCACAACCUACUGCAGUACAAUAGUUUAGACACCCACCACCCUUCCCUCAAAGAUUUCAGAAGCAACAACAAGACAAGCAGUUCAAUAAAAUCUUAGGAGUGCUGAAACAACUACAUAUCAAUAUCCCUUUUGUGGAAGCUCUAGAACAAAUGCCAAAUUAUGCGAAAUUUUUGAAGGAUAUCUUGACAAAGAAAAGAAGAUUUGGAGAAUUUGAGACAGUUGCUCUAACACAAGAGUGCAGCCGAAUGCUUCAGAGUAAGAUACCGCAAAAGAUGAAGGAUCCAGGAAGCUUCACAAUCCCUUGCUCCAUAGGCACUAAAUACUGUGGCAAAGCACUUUGUGAUUUGGGGGCUAACAUCAAUCUCAUGCCUUUAUCAGUGUUUAAGCAAUUGGGAGUUGGUGAAUGUAGACCAACAACAGUGACUUUACAACUUGUUGACAGGUCUCAUGCAUAUCGAGAAGGGAAGAUUGAAAAUGUGUUGGUGAAGGUGGAUAAAUUUAUUUUUCUAGUGGAUUUCAUUGUGCUAGACUUUGAGGCAGACAAAGAAGUGCCAAUCAUUCUAGGGAGACCUUUCUUAGCCACGGGAAAGACUUUAAUUGAUGUUCAAAAAGGAGAAUUAACCAUGAGGGUGAAUGAACAGCAAGUGACAUUCAAUGUGCUGGAUGCUAUGAAGAGUCCCGAUGAGAUUGAAUAUUGUGAUUUUAUCAGUGUUGUGGACUUUGUUGUAGCAGAGAGAUUACACAGUUGCUGCAGUAAGGAAGAAAUCAAUGUUGUGACAUUUGAAGAACUUGAUGAUGAAGAUCAUGGAGCAGCUAACAUAGCAUGGUCAGGAGAGAAGCAACCCCUCAUAAUUGACGAGCAAAUCCAGCAAAUGGAACUCACGCCAGACCAACAAGAAUUCAAGGUUAAUGGGCCAAGAGUGAAGCACUAUAUGAGAGAUGAUGUGAACAGCCUAAAGACGAAUAUGUUCUUGAAUGAUCCAGGAUGAGCAAACAAGAAAGGUCAGACUAAAAGACCUAAAAUCAAGCGCUAAUUGGGAGGCAACCCAAUAAGGGAAGUUGUUUUAAGUUUUUAUGGCAUUGAAUUUAGCUUUUAAAUUAUUUAAUUUGUCUUUUUAUUAUUUUAAGUAUGCAUUUAAUUUUUUAUGUCUUUAUGUUACAUUGCAGCAAGUAAACAAAAUGUGGGCAAAAAGAGCAGGAGGGAAUUGCUGCCGCAUCACUUACAGCAUGACAUAUAACAGAAGAUUCUCAAACAACAGAGGCAUUUCUUGCUUUUGCAGCAGCAAAUGGAUUGAUCAGAUUUUUAUGAUAAGGAGUGUUUGAGAAGUAUAUCAAAGAAAAAGUGACCCUUUACAGCCUAUGCUAUAGCAAUGCUUCCAGCAACAGGGGAGUACCAUUACCCACUAGUUUAUUUUACUUCUUUCUGUAAAACUUUUCUUUAAUUUAGUUUUAAUUUUCUAAUUCAUUCUGCAUGUCUUUUUAUUUAGUGUAUGCAUGUCUGGUUUAUGUGGUUUUGUUUUGUGUGCUUGUGAGGACACAACACCACUCAAGUUUGGGGGGGUUGUGUUUUUUAGUGCAUGUGCUUGUGUUGUGUGAAGCUCUGUUAUCUAAUAUUUGUGUAUGGAUUUGAAAACCUAAUGAAGAUAAAUUGAGUGUUAUUCAGUAUUUAUGAGAAAGCCAAGUAGAGAUAGUUAUAGAUAAAGGUUGAACUUCUGUCCCAACACUUAGACUUUGGUUGAGUUUUAUGAGAAUGCUGUAGUAGAACCAGGAAAAAAAAAGAGUAGAAAAUAUCUCAAGUUUGGGGGAAAAUUUUUGUUGGACUGUGCCUGUUAUGAAAUAAAUUCUGCUCCAAUGGUUUAAGUUGCUGAGUAACCAGGGUUGAGUAUGCACCCUAUAUGCAAACUUGAGUCCAAAGGCAACACGAGCUACGAGCAGUGCUGCAGCAAAAGCAAAAAAAAAAAAGAAGAAAAGCAAAAAAAAAUGAUGAUAAAGAGGUCCGCUACCUAGGAUACUGAGUAACCUGGUCUGUUCAUGAGUCCCAUGUUCAGCCUUGAGUCAAAGGUGUCCAAAGGUAUGACCUAGAUAUAACAUCCCAAAUGCGUUGCUGUAGCAACUCCGACAUGUACUUUGAAUGAGUAAUUGGGUGUCGUCAUUACAAGUGAUAGGCAUUCACAUGAAAGCUCAAUGUUGCAUUGAAAGGUUUAACUGGAAAAAACAAGUAUUAUUAUUGUAGCAUAGUUUGAGUUUAUUUGUGAAUUCUACUCCCCUAUAUGUGAAUAUCUUUGGUUCUAUCUAUGAAUUAUAUGUCUAUGUAAUGUUGUAGCACCUCUGGAAUUUGAUCAAAGUGGCACACACACACUCUGGACAGAAUAAAGCCUAAGUCUAGAACUAGAUUGCUAUGGCUAUUUUGCAUGAUUAAGAGUGUGAUCUGAGGGUGGAAGAAUCCUUGCAAAUCUGAUGACAGAGCUAAGUUAUUUGUUGCAUGAUUGUGUGAUUGAAGUGUUAGCAUUAUUGUCAUUACUUGAGGACAAGUAAGGGUUUAAGUUUAAGGGUGUGAUAACUCUAUGAAAUGAAAGUUAUCAUGGCACUUUUAGGCUUAAAUCAAUACUACUUAGAGAGUAAAUUAUGUGUUUCUAUUGCAUUUUUGUUACAUUUUGCAUAAAUAAUCAUUUUAGUCAGUCUUAAUAAGUUUUGCUCGAUUUAAAGUAAUUUGUGCUCAAAUUGUGUGAAUAAUUGUAGGUUUCUAGAAGCUUAUAAUUCAUGAAAGGAAUGCUAUGCAAUAGGCUUGCAAAAAUAAGGAAGAGCAUGGCUAUAAAAGAAUUGAAACAAAUUUGGAACAGUACAGUUGCUGUAGCAACCAUUACUAUAGCCAUUGCUAUAGCAAUCCUGGAACAACGACGGAGAAAAUUCCGCGCGGGAUACUUGCAGAAUUGCGAUCUGCAGUUUCCUAAUCUGACUUAUGCGCGCCCUGGGCUUCCGUUUACCCUAAUUUUUAACUAUAAAAGAAGCACACAUCAUAAGGAUUAAAGAGAGCCGUCACCCAAGGAGGAAAACAAAAAGAAAUAAAAGAAAAACAAGAUUCAAGAGAGAGAUUAAGGGCUGCACAAGAGGAGAAUUUGCAUAAAUCAAUUGGGAGCUCAAUCCUUCUUAUUCUUCUCUUAUUUUCUCAUUUUCUAUUUAUUUAUGGGGAUGUGUUUCAUGGCUGAAACUUUGUUCUUUAUUUUUCUUUUACAAACCAUGAACUAAAUUUAUUUGUGGUUGAGUGAUAAACAAUCUUGAUGGUUUAUUGACUGAAUAUAUGUGUUGCUGCAUGUUUGUUGUAGUAGUUUAUUUUUAUAGUAUUUAUUUUAUUCAUUAUUUCGGUUGAUCACCCAUUUAAUAAUACAAGUUAGGAGAGAGCAGCAAAAUGGCCUAUCUUAGUGGAACAUAUUAGAACAAUACUUGAUCUUAAAUUCAGUUUCCCGAAUUGAGUUUUACUUGAGUCCCAAAAGGGCCAUGCUUAAUUUAAUAUUAGUGAUGAAAUAGACAUAGGGAUUCACCUUGUAGGAUAAAUAGAACCUAAGCGUGUAAUGCUAUAUCUUAUGUUGGCAUAACAAUUGAUCACUGUUAGGUUGCAUAUAGAUAUAAGAUAUCCAACAUGCGACGGCUGAGGAUACAUAAGGAUUCUGCCCAGUGCUAUAGCAGAUGCUGCAGCAACCGAGCCAAACAUUAGAAAAAUAGUCAAUACCAUUAAGAGAGUUUAUUCACUCAACUACUAUAUACUCCCAUUAGUUUUAUCCUUGAGUUUGACGUGAUAAUUUACUUUAUUGCAUUUUAUUUAUUGUGUUUUUAUUUUAAUUAGUACAUUAGUUUCAGUAAUUGUUUAUUUUAUUUUAGCACAAAACCUGCACUGUUAAGAUUGCUAUAGCAAAUUUGAUAACAUCAAUCCCUGUGGAGACGAUCUUGAAUACUCAUCAUUUUAUUACUUGUUGUGUACACUUGCACAUUGACACCAAUAGCAUUAGUAUUUAUACACCAACAACUACUUCUUUCUUUGCCAAAAUAUCUCUUACAAAAUUGUAUUUAGUCUCAAUGUGUUUCGAUUUGGUAUGGUAUUUAGCAUUAUUAGAGAAAUGGAUAGUAGCUUGAUUGUCACAAUAGAUAGUCACUAGAUUAUCAUUGAUAAUAUUAGUCUCUAAGUUCUCUAUAAAUCUCUUAAGUCACAUAACUUUUUGCACUGUUGCAGAACAUGCAAUAUAUUCGGCUUCCACCGUUGAUAAAGUCGUGCAUGUUUGCUUCUUGCUACUCCAUGUAAUUGUUCCUCUAUUUAGCAGGAAUACAUAUUUUGAAGCUGAUUUACGCUAAUCCAGAUCACCACCCUAGUCGGUGUCUGAAUAUCCAACAAGCCGCAAACGACCUCCUUGAUAGCAUAAACAAUAAUUUGCAGUGCAUUUGAGAUAUGCUAAAAUCCUUUUAACAGUACUCCAAUGCUUCUGACCAGGAUUAGACUGGUAUCUACCUACUAGUCCUACAACAUAACUAAUAUCAGGCAUUGUACACAUUAUGACACACUUAAGACUUCCAAUGGCAUUUGCAAAAGGAACUCUAAUCAUUUUUUCUUUUUCUUGAGGAGUCUUGGGACACAUAUCGAGACUAAGAGAUUGUCCUUUAGCUAUAGGGGUAUCCUUGUGCUUACAAUCAGCCACAUUGAAUCUUUCAAUGAUCUUCUUAAUGUAAGACUCUUGUGACAGAGCCAUAAUUUUCCUUGAACGAUCCUUAAAAAUUUUGACCCAUAAGAUAUAAGUUGCUUCGCCGAUAUCUUUCUUGUCAAAAUUUGAAUGUAGCCAAUCUUUAAUAAUUUUCACAAACUCUUUACUAUUUGCUGCCAAUAAUAUAUCGUCCAUAUACAAAGUCAAUAUCGUAAAAGCGUCUUUAUGUCUCUUAAUGUACACACAAUGGUCUUCCUUAACCAUCCUAAAGCUAAGAAACUAUAGCUUGAUAGAAUUUAAGGUUCUAUUACAAGUGGGCAUAUUUUAACUAAACCUAUCCAAACCGAUCCCGACCAUUUGGAUCGGUUUCAUUAGUAAAAAAACUAGUUUUGGUUUAUUAGAUUGCAAACCGACAUCACUCGAUUUGGAUUUCAGCAAAUCGAUCCAAUCCAGAAAAUUUAAAAAGCUUUAAGACAUAUGAUGUGUCAAUUUAUUAUUGGAUUAUUAACAGAAGAAAUGUACACUUUCAUACACAAUAGCACACUUCUUAUUAUAAAAACAAAAACACAAAAACCUAAUUGUCCAACACUCACAGCUGCCUUCACCUCCAGUGCCUCCUAUCAUUCUCAACUCUCUCAAUCUCAAUCGCUCAUUCUCAAGUCUCAGAGUCAUAAUUUUAAAAAUCGAAACAAAAGGGCAUGUUUUGAUUUUAUUUUUCUUGCUACAAUUUUAUUUUAUUUUAGUCAAAAGUUAAAGUGGAUUUUGGUAUAAUUGAUGAUAAUUUAUUUGAUUAAUUGAUUCCAUAGCUAUUUUUUUUUUAAUCUUUAUUAAUUAAAGAAGCUCUCAACAUGGAAGAUAAUUCCAAUGUGAAUAAUAUCAUAGAAAAUGGAGAAAUAGUGAUGGAUGAUUUUCUAGAACCUAAAAGUAAGAAAUCUAGAACAUGGGGUGGUCGUCUUCAUGACAGUGAAAGGGGUUCAAAAGUUUGGCCUCAUUAUAUCAAAGAUUAAGUGAAUAGGACAUGUAAGUGCAAAUAUUGUGGGAAGUAGUAUAAGUGUGAUAGUAAGUUUAAUGAGACUUUUAAUUUGUGGACUCACUUAAGAGAACAAUGUGAAAAAUAUUGGGCUACUUUAGAUUAUGUGACUCAAGUUAAACUAGCUCGCUUCCGUGAUAAGAAAAAAAAGUCUAAUAUGGCAAGUGGUAGUGGCACUAGGAAUAUUGUGUAUGGUAUUGGGUUGGGGCUUGCUGGAAAGUUUGAUCAUGAGGAUUGUAGGAAGAAUGUGGCAAUAUAUUUUAUUCUUAAUGAGGUUUCAUUUAGGAAGGUAGAGUCUUAUGGGUUUCAUCUUUUGUGCGAUAAACUUUGUCCUAGAUUUGGCCCACCUUCUAGGGGAACACUUGUUAGAGAUAUAUAUCAACUGUAUUUAGUUGAGAAUGCAGCAUUAAAAAAUAUUUUUAUUGCAAAUAAGUAUAGAGUUUCUAUUACCACAAACAUUUGGACUUUCAUACAAAAUUUUAAUUAUAUGUUGUGACAACCCAUUGGGUUGAUCAUAAUUGGAAAUUGCAUAAGAAAAUUUUGAAUUUUUUUUCCAAAUAACAAGCCACAAAGGGGACUUAAUCGGCAACCUUAUUGAAAAAUGCUUACUUGAUUGAGGUAUAGAAAAAGUGAUGAUUGUUAUAGUUGAUAAUGUGAGUUCUAAUGAUGUUGCUAUCAAUUAUUUGAAAAAAAAAAUUGAAAAAUUGGAAGGGUGAUGCAAUGAUUUUAGAUGGAGAUUAUUCACAUUUGUGGUGUUGUGCCCAUAUUGUUAAUAUAAUUGUGAUUGAAGGGCUGAAAGAGAUGCAUGACUCAAUUUCUAGCAUUUGCAAUGCAAUUAUAUAUGUGAGGUCUUUUGGUUUGAGGUUGCAUGUUGUAGGUUUUCUAAUGCUAUUGAUGUCAAUGUGCAAGUGUACACAAUAAGUAAUAUAAUGAUGAGAAUUCAAGAUUGUCUCCAUAUGUUGUUAUAGGAAUUGCUACAGCAAUUUUAUUAGUACAAUUUUUUUCCUAAACAAGAAUUAAAACAAAUUAUUAAACUAAUGAAAUAAUAAAAAUAAAAACGCAAUAAGAAAAAUGCAAUAAAGUAAAAUACCACAGCAAAUACAAGGAUGUUCCCAAGGGGAAUGGAGUAGUUGAGCGAUUAAACUCACUUAAUGGUUUUGACUAUUUUUCUAAUGUUGGCUCGAUUGCUAUAGCAUUUGCUACAGCACUGGGCGGAAUCCUUAUGUAUCCUCAGCUGUCGCAUGUUGGAUAGCUUAUAUCUAAAUGCAACUUAACAGUGACCAAUUGUUAUGCUAACGUCAGAUAUAGCAUUACACAUUUUAAAUUCUAAUUACUCUACAAGAUGAAUCCCUAUAUCUAGUUCAUCACUAAUUUUAUAUUAAGCAUGACCCUUUUCAAAUCAAGUUAAACCCAACUCAGGAAACUCAAUCUAAAACCAAGUAUUGCUUUGAUAUGUUCCACUAAGACAAGUCUUUUUUAAGCUCUUUCUUAACUAGUAUCACUAAAUGGGUGGUCAACCGAAAUAGUAAAUUGAAAUAAGUAUUAUCAAAACAACGUGCUAUAGCAAAUAUGCAACAACACAGAAUAUUAGUCAAUUAACCAUCAAGUUUGUUCAUUACUCAACCACAAGUAAAUUUAGUUCAUAAUUUUUGAUAAAACAAGAAGUAAAAUAGUUUCAGCCAUCAAACAAUUCAUCAUAACGAGAUAGAAACAAGAGAACAAAAAAUAAGAGUGAGAUCCGCUUGAUGUUCUUCUCGAAUUCCUUAGUUGCAGCCCCCAAUUCUCUCUCUUGAUCUUUGUUUUUUCUUGUGUUGUUUAUCUAUUUUUCUUCUCCAAUGACGACUCCCUUUUCUUUGCGUGUGUGCUCCUUUUAUAGCUCAGAAUUAGGGCAACUGGAAGCCUAGGACGUGCAUCUUCUAAUUUAGAAAACUCCAGACUGCAAACUUCAAAGUAUCUCGCGCGAAAUCUUCUCUGUCAAUGCUCUAGAAUUGCUAUAACAACGAUGCUACAACAACAGUGCUACAACAAUGGCUUCAGCAUCUGCAUUGUUCCAGACUUGUUUCAAUUCUUCUCUAAUUAAGUUCUUUCCUUAUCUUUACAAGCCUAUUGCAACCGUAUUCCUUUCUUGAAAUUUGAGCUUUCGGUCACCUAUAAUUAUGCAUAUGAUUUAAGUACACAAUUUAUUCUGAAUCAAACAAAACUUAUUAAAAGUAAACUAAAAUGGAUGUUUAUCCAAAACAUUACUAAAAUGCAACAAAAAUAUGUCAUUUACUCUCUAAGUAAUCAUGAUUUAAGUCUCAAAGUGUCAUGAUAACUCUCAUUUCAUAGAGUUAUCAUUAUAAAUUUAAAUCAUGUGUUGAGAGAGAGAAAUUUGAAUAUAAAGGGCUUUUAGCAUAUGAUGUGCCCACUAGAUGGAAUUAUAUCUACACUAUGUUGUCCAGAGCUAUAAACUUUCAGAAAGCUUUUGAAAGUCUGGAAGAAGAGGAAUAUGAUGGACCAAAGCUUUUUUCAAUGAGAGGAAAGCAGAACAUAUCAGGCCACCCACAGCUGAAGAUUGGAAAAUGCUGCAAUAUUUAUCAAGUUUUUGAAAUUUGUGAAUAAUGUUACAAUUGAUUACAAUGCUUUAUUAUCUGUCAUGUCUAACUUGUAUUUUCAUCAUCUUUGCACCAUUCAAACCUAGUUGCAUUCAUUUAUUGAAAAAAAGGAGGUGCUUCUUAGUAAAAGGGCAGAAAAAAUGAAAAUAAAGUAUGAAAAGUAUUGGGGUUCUGUGGACACUAUAUAUCAGCUGUUUAUCAUUGUUGUGGUACUUGAUCUAAGGUAAAAAUCUGUUAUUUCAUUUGAUUUUUUAUUUUUUAUGAUAAAAUCAAUUGUGAUAAUUAUUUACUCCAAUUCAUUUCAUAUCUAAGGUACAAAUUGGAUUAUGUGUCAUUUUGCUUUGAAAAUUUGCAUAAUCCUGAGAAAGCGAAAGAAAUUACAUCAAACAUUAAGAAGCUACUUUUAAAGGUGUAUUCUUUGAAAUACUAACUAGGCAACCCAAGAGGGGGGUGAAUUGGGAUUUUAAAAAUUAAGCUAAGCAAACCACACAACAAUCUAAUCUAAUGCCUUAAUAAAUUCGAAAACAAUAAAUUCAAUGAAAGCACAAUAAUAAAUGAGCAAGGGAAGAGAAAGAAAACUCAAGGAUUUUUACGUGGUUCGGCAAUCCCCGCCUACGUCCACGCCUCCAAGCACACCGGGCUUGAGGAUUUCACUAUCCGAGUCUUUCCAAGGCUUCAAAUGUUUACAAUUGACUUCAAGGUGUCAAUGAACCUUUACAACAAAAUAUUAUCUCUCCAAUCUCUUCACCCCAAGUGUUUCUCACACUUGUACACUCACAAUUUGAUGAGAAAUGAAAAUUACAAUAAUGAAACUCUCUUUAAGAGUGGAUAUACAAAUUGAAGAACAAAGAUGAUUUAAUAAAUGAUGAUUUACGAAAUUGAAGCUCAAUAUAUGUUGUGUGCACUUGUUUUUGCUUGCCAAGAUUUCCAAAAUUGAAUUGGUUUUGAGUUUAUAUAGUUUGAACUCAAAAAACUAGCCGUUAUGCACAUUUUGGUCAUAACCGGCUUACCAUUUAGGAAUCCGGUAAGCCGCUUUUAUGUUACCGUUAAGGCAAAAAUUUGAAUUUCAAAAUAUCCGGUAAGCCGCAUUUCAUAUCCGGUAAGCCACUUUUGAAAUCCGGAUUGCCGCUUGCGAAAUCCGGAUAGCCGUUUAUGCUCCAGAAGCUUACUGCCCAAAAUCUGGAUUGCCGUUUACUAUAUCCGGUAAGGCACUUGCUACAAUGAUUGCUACAGUGAACUAUUUUUUAAAAUUACUGUUUGGCCCCAAAACUUUCCAUAAUUGUAUUAUGGCCUAAAACGUUAUGAAAAUUUGCAAAUAGGUUCAAUUUUAGAAUUUCUAAGCAAUGCUUUGUUAAUCUCAAAACUUUUUGAAAUUAUGGUAUAGCCUAAAAUGCUAUGACACUUUUCAAACAAGUCUUUCUCUAAAAUUUCAAACAAUACUUGUUGAUUUCAAAGUUUUCAAAACUCUUUCAAUUAAAUCAUAAACUUGAAAAACAACUAAUUUCAUAAAAUCAUUUUUUCAUGAAAUAUAAAACCUUUAUAGUGUAAAAAUAAUGAUUUAUUUAAAAUGUAUAAAAAAUAAUUUGAGCUUAAAAGAUUAAUCAUUCUUAAUCUUGUUUGUUAUCAUCAAAAUCAACAUUAUGAAAACAUAUAUGUUAACAUUCUUAAACUUUCAAAUUAGAUUCAGUUAUAACACUAGUUACUUUAUUUUUUUUCUGUAAAAUGUAUUCAUAUUUACUUAAAUUUAUUUUCAUAGCUAUAUAAAACCUAUUGUCUUGUAGAAUCUACUUCUGGUGAUGGUAGCCAAUCUACUAAUGAUGUUUUGGCAAUUGAUGUGGGUUUAAGAAGGAAAAGUGGCAAGGUCUAUGCAUUUAUUAAUACAAAGACUCAAUAUAAGCAGUUAAAAGUGCAGAAAGAUUCCAUUGAUUUGAAAAAUGAGGUAGAAAGGUAUUUGUUCUAACCUAGCGAGGAUGAAACUGAUGAUUGGUUUGAUGUUUUGGGUUAGUGGAUUGCAAAUAGUGCAAGGUUUGGGACUUUGUCACAAAUUGCAAAGGAUGUGUUAGCAAUUCCUGUAUCUACUGUGGCUUCUGAAUCUACUUUUAAUACUGGAGGUCGUGUAGUCUAUGCAUUUCGAAGUUCAUUAACCCCUACAAUGGUUGAGACUUUGAUAUAUAGUCAACAAUGGCUUAAAGCAUCUGGUAUGGAUGAAAAAUAUAUUAGGAAGUUUGAUGUAGAAGUAUUAGCAUCAUACUUUAGUGAUUUGGAAUUAUGUACGUCUGUGGAGCAAGGUACCUAUGUUUUACAUAUAGUAUAAUUAUAUUAUUUUCUAAGUUAAGCAAUCUAACCAAUCAUUUUGUCAUUUUAUGCAGAUUUUGACAAAUCAAAAGUAAUUGGGCCAUAAGUUUUGAUGGACAAGAUGCACGAUAUUUUGAUUGUCAAAUGUUGUUCAAGUUUAUUUUAAUUUUGUGAGUUUGUUUUGAAUGAACAGGUUGAGAACUUCUUUAUUAUGAUGUAUUCUGUUAUGAACUUGUAUGGAUGUAUCUUUGAAUUGUUAUGUAGAUAUGAAUAAUAUAAAAGAGAUAUCAAUUUAGAUUAUGGACACAAAAAAUAACAAAUAAUUUAGGUACAACAAUAUAAAAGAGGUGGGCUUUUAGCUAAUAAUCUCAAACCAAGAAAAAAACCAAUCCAGUCGGUUUGGUUUAAAAAAAUUUUCGGUCGAUAUCAGUUUAGAUCGGUUUGAUAAUUUGUCUCAAAUUGAUCCAAACCAAAUUUGCCUACCUCUCAGUUCCAUUAUCUAGAGAAAUGCAAUAUUUACAUCCAUCUGAUGUAAUUCAAGGUCUAGAUGUACAAUAAUGACCAAAAUUAAUUGUAUAGAAGCAAACCUUACCAUAGGAGAAAAGGUUUCUUUAUAGUUUAUUCCCUCCUUUUGGGUAUAGCCUUUAGCGACUAAUCUUACUUUGUAUCUCUCGAUUGUCCCAUCCACUUUACGUUUUAUAUGGAGAACCCAUUUAUUUCCGAUAGUUUUAUGAUUAGGCAGAAAUUCAAGCAAGUCCCAAACUUGAUUAACGUUCAUAGAUUCUAUCUCUUCUUCCAUUGUUUUCAUCUAUAAAUCCUUAGCAGACGAUGUGAGAGCUUUAUUAAAAGUAUUUGGCUCUUCACUAUCGUGUGAAGUAAUCAUAAAACGUCUCCCUCAAUCUCAAAAUGACGACAAGGAAUUGACUUACGACUACUCUUCUGAGUUGAUUCCCUAAUUCGAAUCGAAGUGUCCGAUGUUUCACUCCCACUCAGAGUAACAAUCCCCAGAGGAUUCGCACUAAUGCCAAUAUCAACAUUAGAAGUGAUAACCCCAUUUGGAUCUUCUAAUUCAUAAAAUUGAAAAUCCUUAUCCACUUCUUCAAUGCUAGAAAAUUCAUUUUCUAAAAAACUGACAUUUGUUGCAACUUUUUCUUGUAUUAUUAGUAUCAAUGUGCAAGUGUACACAAUAAGUAAUAUAAUGAUAAAUAUUCAAGAUCGUCUUCACAUGGAUUGAUGUUAUCAGAAUUGCUAAAACAAUCCUGAACAGUGCAACUUGUGUUCUAAAUUAAGACUAAAUAAUUAAUGAGACUAAAUAACUAAUUAAACUAUAAAAUGUAAUAACUAAAAAGGCAAUAAAUAAAAUUUUCAUGUCAAACACAAGAAUAAAGCCAAUGAGAAUAGAGUAGUUGAAGGAUUAAACUCUCUUAAUGGUUUUGACUGUUUCUUCUAAUCUUUGGCCUGGUUGCUACAACAUUUGUUACAGCACUGGGCAAAAUCAUAUUGUAUCCUCAACUGUCGCAUGUUGGAUGUCUUAUAUCCUUAUGCAACCUAAUAGUGACCAAUUGUUAUGGUAAUAUAAGAUAUAACAUUACACAUUUAGGUUCUAUUUACCCUACAAUGUGAAUUCGUAUGUCUAAUUCAUCACUAAUUUUGGAUUAGGCAUGGCCCUUUUGGAAUCAAGUAAAACUCAACUCAACUCAAGAAACCCAAUCUAAAACCAAGUAUUACUCUGAUAUGUUACAUUAAGAUAAGCCCUUUUGUAGCUCUUUCUUAGCUUGUAUCAUUAAAAUGAGUGGUCAGCCGAAAUAAUGAAUAUAAUUAAAUAUCAUCAAAAUAAAAUGCUAUAGCAAGCAUACAACAACACAUUUAUACAGUCAAUGGACCAUCAAGAUUAUUUAUCACUCAACCACAAAUAAAUUUAGUUUAUAAUUCGUAAAAGAAACAUGAACAAUAGAGUUUUGGUCAUCAAAUGCAUUCUCAUGAUUAAAGAAUAAACAAGAAAACAAGAGAAGACUAAGAAAGACUGAGUUCCCGAUUGAUUUCUGUAAAUUCUCCUCUGAUGCAGCCCUUAAUUUUGCUCUUGAAUUAUGUUUUUCUUUUAUUUCUUUUCGAUUUUUGUUCUUGGUUGACGGCCUCUCUCUUCCUUUGCAUGUGUGCUCUUUUUAUAGAUAAAAAUUAGGGCAACUGAAAGUCUAGGGUGUGUAUCUUCCAGAUUUGGAAACUCCAUAUCUCAAUCUUUUAAGUGCCUCACAUGAAAUCUUCUCUGUCAAUGCUCUAACAUUGCUACAACAAUGUCUGCAACAUCUGCAUUAUUCCAGACUUGUUUUAAUUCUUCUGCAGCCAUGUUCUUUCAUUCAUUUUGCAAGCUCAUUGCAACAACAUCUUUUCCUUGAAAUUCAAACUUCCAAUUACCCACACUUAUGUAUGUGAUUUAAGCACACGAUUAUUCAAACCCAAACAAAAUUUACUAGAAUUAAACUAAAAUGGCUGUUAAUGCAAAAUAUCAUUAAAAUGUAAUAAAAACACAUUAUUUACUCUCUAAGAAAUCUUGAUUUAAGUCUAAAAAUGCAAUGAUAACUUCAUUUCAUAAAGUUAUUAACAUCCCGUGAUUCCAGUUCAGUUAAAAAUCCACUUUCAUGUUCACCAAUGAACACAUAUUGUUUGGAGUGUUCUGAGUAUCUAAUAAAGAUACGCUUUUUACUUCUAGCUCCUAAUUUCCCAAACUUAUGAAUGGAGUUAUAAACAUAAGCUGCAGACCCCCAAGGUCACAAAUGAAAUAGGUCAGGUUUCCUAGCCGUCUAUAACUCAUAUGAGUAGAACUAACUGAUUUUGAAGGAACUAGGUUAAAUAUACAGGCAGCAGUUAACAAUGCAUCUCCCUAAUAUGAUAUUGGAAUAUUUGAGUGUGCCAUUAUUGACCUAACCAUUUCUAAAAAAGUUAUAUUCCUUCUUUCCGCCAUACCAUUUUGUUGCAGAGUUUCAAGAAUAGUCAACUGUCUAUUUAUUCAUUUCUCACUACACAGUUCCUUGAACUAUUUUGAAAGGUAUUCAUGUCAUCAGUCAGUCCUUAGAACUUUAACAUUAUUAUCUAUUUGAUUCUCUACCAUGUUUAGAUAUAAUCUAAAGCAAUCCAAUGCUUCUGAUUUAUAAGAAAUCAAGUAGACAUGACCGAAACUUGAAUAAUCAUCAAUGAAUGUUAUAAAAUAUGAGGCUCCAUGUUUAGCCCUUACAUUCAUUGUAUCACAGAUGUUAGAAUGGAUUAAUUGUAAUGAUUUUUCAACUCUAAUUCCUUUGUCAAAUGGUUUUCUAGUUGUUUUUUCAGCUAAACAAUUCUCACAUAUGGGCAAUUCAACCUUGGUAAGUAAACCCAAUAUGCCCUUUCUCGUAAGUCUAUUCAUUCUUUUUUGCCCUAUGUGACCUAAUCAAGCAUGCCAAGUAAUAACAUCUAUUUUAUUAUUACUUAAAGAAGUAGCAUAUGAAAAAUAAUUAUUAUCAUAACUUGAAUUAUCAGGUAUUGUAUCUAAUAUAAUAAAACCAUUAACGAAAUGCCAGUUCUAAUAAGGACUAAAUUUAAGAAAAUCUCCAAAAAAAAAUCAUAAAAGUUUAAAUUAUAUCCUAAUUCAAGAAGAACAAGAAUAGAAACCAAGUUUCAUCGAAUCUCUAGUGCAUAUAGGACAUCGUGUAAUAAAAGAAUACGUCCACCAUGCAAAGUCAAUUUGUAGGUGUCUAUUCCUUUUGCUUCAACCCUGGAGUUGUUGCCCACGUAUAUCCAUUUAGUCCCUUGACUAAUUUGGUGAUACUCUACAAACGCAUUUUGAUCACGAGCUAUAUAGUCUGUUGAUCCUGAGUCUACAGUCUACAUAGGACGAGAAUCAAUUAGGAGUACAUAACUCAUAACUAACACAAAAUUUAAUAAAGUGGAGUUGGGCUCAGUGCACUCGCGAGCAAAGUGAUCGGGCUCACUACAAUUAUAGUAUUUCAUCUUAGAUUUGUCAUUUUUCUUGUUAGUGCGUCUACCCCUUGGGCGCUUCUUAGCAUCUGAAUUCCUCUUAUUAGGAUCAGAUUUCUUACCCUUCUGGUUAUAAUUAUGACCCUUUUGUACUUGAAGCUUGAAGCUUUGUGCGAAUUUGAUUCGGUCAUAUAAACACGAUCAAAAAGCUUAGUUGCCUCAAGGCGCUUUACUUCUAAUUCUAGGUGAUGUUCUAUGUCAUUGAAAGUUCUAAUACUUUCAUUAUGAGUCAUAUUCACCAUCAUGUGCAGCCAAGAAUCAGGUAGAGAUCUUAUUACUUCCUGGACUUGUUGUUCAUCAGUCAAAAUAUGUCCAGCAGCCUUAAGUUCGCAAAUCAUGUUUGACCUCUCCCUCAGCUGCUGCCUCAUAAUAUGAUUUUGGCAAUUCCGAGAAGAAUCAAACUUGAUCAUAAGCCUUGCAAUUUAGUAGUCGAAGUGCCACUGAACUUAUCUUUUAGAGCGAGCCACAUCUGUUGAGCAGUCUCUUAUAGCCUCUUCUACUAUAGUAGCGGAGUUCAUAGCAUGUAACGAGACAUCCAAUCACAGAAUAUGGCUAAGGAAUUACGUCACAGAGUUACACAUUUUAGAUGUUAUUGAUAGACCACUUAAGUUAUUAUGUGACAAUAAGUUAGCAGUGCUAUAUUCCAAUAACAAUAGGAGCUCGACGAAGUCACAGUAUAUAAACAUCAAGUUCCUAGUUGUUAAAUAAAGAAUUCAGAGUGGAAAAUUGUCUAUAAAGCAUAAUGGUACAAAAUUCAUGAUCACGGAUUCGCUUACUAAGGGAAUACCAUCUAAAAUUUUUCAUAAGUACACCGUUCAUAUAAGUGUCGUGUCAUUAAAGGAUAUUCAUUUUUAAUGGGAUUUUGUAAAUUUCAAAUGUUCUUAUGAUAUAAACAUUUUUCGGUUUAGGGAUAUUUAAGGUUAUUUUCUGCAGAAAUAAAGUUUUGGUUUAUUCAUUCACACUAAUUUUUAUAUGAUUUGAUCUCACUAAAGUUUAAGGCGGAUCAAUUGGAAAUAGGCAUGUUAAGAUCACAUUACAUGAAAUUUCCAUCCUACACGCCCAUAUCAUGAUCUAUGUCAUUCAGUUAUAUUGGCAUAGUGAGCAUUGAUGGGUCAAGUUACGAUAGUUGUAACAAAGGUCGUUUUGAUCCUUUGUUGAUAUGAUUGAUGGACCGAAUUGACUAUAGAUACAGUUUAGUAAUGACAGUAAAGUUGAGCUCAUAUGGUUAUUUUUGCAAAGUAUAAUUAUAAGGUUACAUAUAUAGCCCAAGUGAAAGGUUGUUGGAUCUUUAAUCUAGCAUUGUUAGAUCCUUGAUCCAAUGUUGGGUUUAUAUGUGAAUAAUUAUAUGUUGUGAACUAUUAUAUAAGAUUAAGACAAAUUAAAAAUGAUCUAUUAAGGUUUUCGAUAAUUUGGGCUUUAAUGUAUCUAAUCAAUUGUGGGCCUUUAAUGUACAGAGACUUAAGACUAAUUUCUAUUUCCAUGAUGGGUUGGAAUAAGAAUACAUAAAGACAAAAGAAAAAUUUGUUUAUAUAAAUAGUUAUUGUCCGUAGGUCACACGUAUCGUUCUAUUCUCUGUUGACAUCUUAUCAUUAGAGAGAGUGCACAGAGAAGUUUAAAGGAUUCUCUAGGAGAAUCUGUUAAUUUGGAAGACAAACUACUAGACUCUAGAGACAAAUUGUGCAUUAUACUAGUCUUGAACAUGUUCAAUUCUCAAGGCAUCCAGAGGAGAUUUGCCCCUAAGCUUGCGAGCACACAAGUUCCUGAAGUAUUCUUCAACUGUCACUCUUUUAAACAAUAGAGGAUUAUUUUCAGAGACCAAAUUGGACGUAGGGUACAUUUCACCAUCAUAUAUCACUAAGUAAACUGUGCCAAUGGAAAGUCUUCCUUGUAUAGAGUUUACAAUUACACGAUGCUCAAUGCUACGGUAUGUCCCAUUGGUUACAAUCUGCCAUGUAAAAAUUAUUAAAGCACAUGAGCAGGCUCAUAUAAAUGCCAAGUUAAGUAUUUUACUAUAAUUAUUACCUCCAGUGUGUCUCCAAUGUCGACAAUGAAAGCAUUAGGGAGUGGAGCAACAGGAAUUAAUGAAAGCACACAUUAGCUAGCUCAUAUGAAUGUCAAGUUAAAAUAACUUAUCAUAAUAAUUACCUCCAACACGACUCCAAUGUUGACAACGAAAGCAUUUGGAAAAGGUGUAACAGGAAUCCACUUUCCAUCCUUCUUGAUCUGGAGACCUUCUACUUCAUUGAUUUCCAGCAGAAUGGUAAGAACAGAGUCAUCUGAAUGAGUUGUGAGGCCCACAACCUUCUCCGGCUGAGGACAUGGAGGGUAAUAGUUCAUCCCCAUUGAUUGGAAACCAUUUUCAAAGUAUUCUCUCAAUUCUUCAUCUUUGAUAUUUAGAACUUUUCCCAUUUUCAAUACCAGGUUCAUGGCCAGAGAUUUUUAACUCCACUGAAUAAAUUCCAAGAUUUCCUACAAGAAAAAAGAAGAUGCAAUUAAAAGGUUUAGUACAUGAUUGUGGUGGAUUGUUAAACAAGUUAUUAUUUAACAGUAUUCUUUCAUGUUUGGUUGUCAAAUUUUACUAAAUAUAACUGACUUGGGAUCUUUCUCUGAACAUAAUACAUUUGCAAUCAUCAAAUAACUGACUAGAGAGAGAAAAAGAGAAACCUGAGGGGUAAAGAGGGAGCUUAGGAAACAAGUGGGGUUUCCUCAGAUGAAUUGGAAGAGUUGUCAUGAAGAAAAUGUCAAUCCAAUCAACCUUUUGUUCCUCGGAUAUAACACAUGCUUGUCCAAAUCCUUCCAUAUUUGUUAGAUUUCAAUAAACUAAUAGAAUCACAUUUGCAUUAUACUCCAUCAUAAAUUUGCUUAUAGUUCUUCUCAAGCUAUCGUAAGCCUAGACAUCUGAAAGAUAUUAAAGACAAUUUAAUUUUCAAGAAUGCAGGUUUGUCUUCUCAGCUAUACAAGAAAGCAAGUUAGAUGGUCCAUAAUCGGACAAGGUCAGUUACAUCCCUCAAUUUUCAAAAAAAAAAAAAAAAAGGAGUGCUUAAACCGGCUUGGUUAAGACUAUCUAGACUCAAAUUUUGUUACAGCUUUCUUAUUGCUAACUUACAGAGUAAGAAAGCAUUGAUACAGAGUAGGCCAAAUUUGUGGCCUACUUGACCUAUAAGAAUGAAACACAAUCUAAUCUGAAUUUGAUCGACUGUACUUUUUGAUUGAGAGUAUAUAGAUUUCUUAAUUCUUGACGCCAGACUACUAUUAAUAAACCAAGCAUGUCCAAAUGAAAAAAUACAAACUUGGGUGCCUCACGACAGGUGUAGCUUAGCUGGUUGUGAAUGUAAUUCGCAAUUUGCAGAUAUCUGCGCUCGAGUAACAAUAUGGGACAAACGGUGGUAUUUACUAGAUGAGGUCUCAUCCCAAGCAAAUCCUUUAAAAGCAAAAUAAUAAUAACUUGGCAAAGGAGUUUACCUAGAAAGAAGCCCAUUCUUUGCAAGCGAAGUGGAGCCUGGACAACUCAGAAUCCAUUGACUCUUCAGAAAACAAGCUCUGCAAUACCCGUGAAUCCAAAUUAUUAUCAGAAAUUGUGGUUAAAUCUUGGCCUGGUCGUAUGUAUCUGGGAGGGAUAGCUAACAUAGGGUUCUUGGCCAACUCUUGAACACAAGGCACAGGCAGAGAACCUCCGAACUUGGCCUUCUUUUUGUUCCACAAAUUCUCUCAACAAUAAUGCUCCAGAGUUUUAUUGACAAAGCAAAUGUUGAAAAUGUAUUAUUUUCAACAAGUCAUUAUUUGCUGUGGCCUUGUGUGAGACUAAUCCACCAUUGCGGGUCUAGGGUUGGCCCAUAGAUAUUUUGUGAAUAUGACAGUUGCAGUCUGCUGUUGUGUUGCUGUCUGCUGCGAAUUAUAAAAAAGAUAGUGCAUUGCCUUCACAAACUCUUAAGAAUUUGGAUACCAUGCUAAUUUCUUUUACAUGGUCUGAUGACAACCAAUCAAAAUCUUGUAUUUUUCUCAGCAUAAUAGCUGAUCAUCAACCGUAGUUCCAAGUUCAACUUUGAGAGAGACGAUCUGAAUAUGAAAUCCAAAGUUAUAGCUUUGCAGCUUGUGUAACUAACAUCUAUUUUCAGCUAUUGAUGGCAAAAUUUUUCGUUAGUGGUAACAAGUUAUGUAUUCGUCACAAUGUGUGUUAUGGAAUGGAAUAUUUAAGACGUGGAAGGACAACAUUGUUGUUAAAAAUCAAAAACUUGUUACUAUUAACUGAAAACUAUAACGGCUGAUACAGAAACUACACUGGUUCUGUGGUAAUAUUAUCUGUAUGUAUCAUAAAAAUUUGGAAACCAAGUCAUAUAGUCCUUGAAAUCUCAUUAAAAACAAGUCAGGUAUGCAAAAAUUCUAUUUCAAAAAAGAAAGAUACUGAUCUGAUAUAAGCACCACCAUAUAUCAUCGGAAGAUUCCAGGCAUAAGUCUGCAAUUCUUAAGAUUCUUACAUGGUCUAUUCAGUAUCUCAAAUGAUAGAGCUACACAACGAUCCCAGCAUAGCAGGUUAUACCACAGUAUUCAUAGAACUUAUUUCUUAUUUUCAGUUCCACACACAAUCUCAAUAGCAAGGUCCUUCAGAGUUUUUGUACCAAACUCUUUAGUUAUCCGAAAUAAACUUAUACUAGCCUUGACCAUGUUGAAUUCUCAGGGAAU
rnacentral:lncRNA from 1 species